GCCUUCCUUGAUCUACCAGUCGUACUCUUCCUGAGGCAGCCCAUAUGGAUAUGUUGGAUUGAAUCUUAAAUGAAGGUAAAAGAGUUUCAAAAGAAAAUCAGCAAGAACAAUCAUAUGUUUAGACAAAAUAGAUAAGGACUGAAAAUAGACUGGAGAGCAGCAGAUGGACGCGUGGGAUGAGACUCACCUUAGCUCAUGCCAGGCAGGCACCUGCCUUGUUGACAUCUUCAGCUAAGCACAUUCUCCAUGAUAAAAGGAGACAUCCCCUUCUGCUGAUCUUGGGUUCCUGGAGGAAGGUUCCAGUAACUAUGGCUGCAGAAACACAGAGGCAAAAUCCAUCCAGCUGAUACGUGUUCUCCUUUGGCUCUGGUAUGGUCCAUGUUCAAGACAGGAUGGAGUCAGGUUACAAAUAGUAGAAAAAAAAAUGUGUUGAAGAAAAUCACUCUGCAGUCUCCAGAAAGAAUAAUGCAUCUUCAGAUCAGCUUUGUAGAAUAAGUUGGAUCCCUUGCCUUGCUUUCUUUCAAUCCAUUUGUGGCUAGAGAUCUAACAAACCCAAUUUACAGUUUCAUUUCCAAUUCCCGUUGGAGACCAUGGCUGGCAACAUGGACAGGCUGGAUAUGCUCUUUGGCCACAAACUGAUCUCUAGGCAAUGUUUUCUGUAUUGAGAAUUAUUUUCAAAUGGCUUCACUGACUCUGUGUGCCAAGAUCUUAUUUUCUGAGACUGUAAUUUCUAUGUAGCUAACAAAUGCAGUCACAACCACUUUACUUUGACAGUUAAUAAAUAAAUUAAAAGCAAUGGAUAGCUUAGAAAACAGCCUUACAUCUGCUUGUUUGAGUUUGAUUAACUAGCCCUUUCAUAGCUCAUAACAAUUUUUAUUUUCCCCAGCACUCAGCAGCUCUCAACUUCAGCUCAUAUGGACAAAACUCCUCACACAUGUUAUUCCUCACAGCCACUGAGUUGGUGGGCGUCCUGUCAGGUCCACAAGGAUGAAGAGCAGAGGACUACCUCAUCUUGGCUAUAUCAGUGGUGAAGGAUGAGAACCUCCCAAUCUGCCUCAUUUUAUAUGCCUACGGGGCAGUGGAUUGCUCACAUCAUUGGUCCCAUCUGCCUUGAUCAUACCUCUUUUCUUUAGAACAGCGUCUCCAGCUUAAGCUGGUCCCUUAAACUCACACUCAAUCAGCCAAUCAUCUUUAAACUGCCAUGGAGUAAUUUUGUUCUCCACUGCAAAAUAUCUUGCAAUUUCUUUUUCUCAGCUCAC
ensembl:lncRNA